GAGGAAGGAAGGCAACUGGAUCACAGAGCAGAAGAGGAGAGGAAGAAAUCACACAUACGUGGUUCAAUACAUCAAACAUUGCAGAAGCCCAGCUGAUGUGAAAAACAGAUACAGCUUUUCAGAAAUUAGACUCAGCCUUUCCUUGACAGAAUCCUUGAUAGAUUUCUGUCAGAUAGAAAGAAACUGUUCUGUUAGUCAAGGAAAAGGCUGAGCGGAUGGUUUUCACCGAGCCUGGCCGUACCUCUCCAUCCUCCAGCUCCACGUCUAGGAAAUCGAAGUCUCUAAAGACCCGGAACUGCUGCUCACUGUUGGUGUCGUCCAUGUUCUCCUGGUCCCGGGUGCCGUCCUCGGAGGACACUAGGCUCGUCUGAUGCUCCAGCAGAUCCAAGUCCCCACACGACGAGAAAAUCACCUACGAACCAAGAGUCCUCUGCUGAGAAACCGCUCUCCCUUCUUUGUUUGUGCUACAAAAAGUGUAACUGGCUCCUCAGAGCACUGUAUUUCCAGUACACACCUAAUUCCUUAAGUGGGUAUUUUUAGAAUGCUCUUUUAUUAUUUAUGUUGGACAGGCGCCUUCAGAUUAAACUCAUUGCGAAGAUGCAAGUUCACACACUAGGAAACUGUUCAAGAGUCAAAUCGCUGCUUCUUAAUGAAAAGUGUAUCCUACAUGCGUGUGUGUGUGUGUGUGUGACAACUGAGUGUAUGUUCACAGUCUACAGCAGCCAAGAAAUUUUCCAAUGUUUCUGCACUUACCGAGGUUAGAAACUGUACAGGUUCACACACACAUACACAUCACAUACAUAUUAUCAUGAAAGAUUUUAAGGACUACUGAUGCCAAGAUAUGUUAUUGUAGAACGAACUGUGAGAGCAAAGUAUUUAACCCUCUUAGAGAUAAACCAGGAACCGGCAGGGAAAAAGAAACAUAAGUCAGGAAGUACAGUACUUGUUCAUCUGAAUUACAGAGGAGAAGCUGAGCAGCCGUGCUCAUAAUUCAUACUUAAAAGUCCUGUCCUGUUGAUUCAAACAAAACUUUUUUUUCUAUUAAAAUUUUAGUAUGUUAAUAUUUUUAAAUUAACUUCUAUGUUUAGGUUCAUUUCACUUGGGCCAUUUUAAUAUAACUCUGUAGAAAUAACAGACUUCAAAUAAAUCUAAAUGUUUUGCUCUCCAGCCUCUCCUGAACAUAGACUGAUUUUAAAUAAAAUGAACAGUACUCUUUAUUUAACCGUUAUAA